UAUUACCAUCAAGUAAUAAAACACUUCUUAGAGGUAAAAAUAAAUAAACUUUAUUUUACCUCUAAGAAGUGUUUUAUAACUUGAUUGUAAU